CGUCACUGCAUACGUAAUCAAAGCGAGCCUCGAUACGCGCUUCACAAAAACUCCCCCGAGAUUACCCGACACACGAUUCGAAGCUUCGACACACAGGACACAUCACUAGCUGAGAUCAGCGUGAAUCACGUGGGUGUCUGCUCCCUGAUCUGUUUCCUGUUUGGAAAGACUUCCAGCUUCAUCACGGAGUUUCUCUCGGUUUGUGGGCUCAUCUAAAGCUGAGUAACAGGAGUCUGGUGGUGCAACAGAGGAACAAUUUCAUCCAUUUGGACUCAGCUCAGCCACUACAGAGGAAACAAUCAAUGACUUCAACACAAAAGGACCAACAUGGAGCAACAAGUCAGCGCUCUCAGGAGGCCGACAAACCUCACAGAAGAAAGG